UUUCUGUAUACUCUUUAAAAAAAAUCUUGGCACUCUUGUAUAUUCUGUAGAUUUUUUUCUAUAUUUUAUAUUUUUUUAAAAUCUCAUUUCACUUUAUUUUUUGUUAUUUUUUAUUUUAUUUUAUUUUAUUUUUUUUACAGAUUGAGUUUCAUUAUAUUCACUCUAAAGACAUAAAUAUGGAGAAAUAACAAGCAACCAAAUUCAACAUGCAAAAUUUUACCUUUAAACCAUGAAUAUUUUCAGUAUUUCAGGAACCUCAUAGAGACACAUUGAAUACUAAAAAUAGAAUAUUAAAAGAAAUUGUUUCUGGAAGAUGAACCUGGUAUUAAAAUGUAGAUUAAAACCUUUCAUUUGCUGAUAUGACCAUAAAAAUGUGGCCUAAAAUGCUCUUUUUAAAAAAGUUUUCUCUGGUGAAUUAUCAGAAACCAGAUUUCUAUGACUCUGUGUCAACAAUAUUAUUAAACUGGUGCAGUUUUAGUGUUAAAAACGGUGAUAUAUUCCAUAACAUUGAUGCGCAAGAAUGGUUUUAGAGCAAAAACAUGCUGAAUAAAAAUGAGAUUUUGGUUUUAGAUUGUAACACCUGGCAGGAUGUAAAAUAGAUUUGGUGUUUUUACGUGUUCUUCAUGUUUCUAUCGCUUGUUCUUUGAAAUUUUGAGGGUUAAAAAAUGCUGAAAAAAGUAUUUAAAUUAAAAAGUGUGAUAUUCUAAUCCAGCUCUAUGUACUUCAAACCUGAAAAUAUUAUUAGCAUGAAGGUAAAACUGUACGGCUCCGUCAAAUAUGCUAAAAUUAUUGUGUGGAAGAAGGUUGAUUCAGACGGGUUCGGCUUAUUAUCUCACUACCUGGAACCAAAAUUGGAAGGGAGCAGAUCAACUGUGUUUUUUAAAUUCUAUUGUGAGCCGGCGACAAGGAGGAAAUGUUGUUUUGUCUUUUUGUUUUUCCCUCAGGAUUAAAGAACAACAAGCUGAUGGUGGAAAAGAAAAAAAGUUUCCUCCAAAGUUGUCUUAUCUGUAGCUGGUUUUUGUCUGUUCCAGCACUUUGUACAUAGUUAUUUUUAUGCAAAAACUCUUUUUUUUAUGAAUUUGACAGUAACUUUUGUAACUUUUUUCAAUAAAAUGUGCAUCAGGU
ensembl:lncRNA